rnacentral:rRNA from 1 species
AUUAAAAAUGUACGCCUAAGUGGCGCUGAAAAGUGUCACUUAGUGCUGUAUAUAACCACCUGUUUACCUUUACCUGUUGCUUCCGUGGAGUAUGAGUGCCCUAACUGAAUAAGUCUGGGUUACUUUCCACGGGUGUAUUUAAAAAAUUGUCUUGCUGAAUUGUCUGAUAAAAAAUUUAAUAAGUUAAAACUUUCAACAACGGAUCUCUAGGUUCUCGCAUCGAUGAAGAACGCAGCGAAAUGCGAUAAGUAGUGUGAAUUGCAGAUUUCAGUGAAUCAUCGAAUCUUUGAACGCACAUUGCGCCCUUUGGUAUUCCGAAGGGCAUGCCUGUCUGAGCGUCAAUAAAUCAAUCAAACUUUAGUUUGGUAUUGGGAGAAGUGGUUAUGCCUCUCUCCUUUAAGCUAUUGGCGACACUAUUUCAGCUUGUAAGACGUAGUAAGCAAUUUCUCGUUAAAGCAACUGUAUAGGCGUCUGCCAACUGAACGAUUUAUUUUUUAAGCUUGACCUCAGAUCAGGUAGGGAUACCCCCUGAACUUAAGCAUAUCAAUA